AACGAACGCUGGCGGCAUGCCUAACACAUGCAAGUCGAACGAGACCUUCGGGUCUAGUGGCGCACGGGUGCGUAACGCGUGGGAACCUGCCCUUAGGUUCGGAAUAACUCCCCGAAAGGGGUGCUAAUACCGGGUAAUGUCUUCGGACCAAAGAUUUAUCGCCUUUGGAUGGGCCCGCGUUGGAUUAGCUAGUUGGUAGGGUAAAAGCCUACCAAGGCGACGAUCCAUAGCUGGUCUGAGAGGAUGAUCAGCCACACUGGGACUGAGACACGGCCCAGACUCCUACGGGAGGCAGCAGUGGGGAAUAUUGGACAAUGGGCGAAAGCCUGAUCCAGCAAUGCCGCGUGAGUGAUGAAGGCCUUAGGGUUGUAAAGCUCUUUUACCCGGGAUGAUAAUGACAGUACCGGGAUAAUAAGCACCGGCUAACUCCGUG
rnacentral:rRNA from 1 species